AUGAAUAUGAAUUGUAAAAGAGUAUGAAUGACAAUGUGAGCGUAAGAGUGCCUGGAUGAGCACAAGCAUUAAGCGACCAAUACUUUGAUUAUUAUGAUUAGCAUUUCAAUCACACAAUCACUCUGAUAUAUGUGAGUUAUGGACAUUUCUUCAUAAAUUGUCAUCAAGAUUAUGUAUCAAUGUUGAAGUUUAAACUAUUAUCAUGAAUAUCUAUGAUUUGGGUCACUGUGGAUCCAUGAUUGUAUUACAUUUGUGCCAGAUUAUGGGAUACUAGCGGUCGCCCAUGGCGAGAGGGGACCAUAAGGUAGUUGUUUCCCUGGAAAUAACAUAAAGCAAUAAAAGGCCAACAGGGUUUUUCGAUCUUAUACAAAUGGAAGAACAAUCAUAGAAGCAAUGACCAAGUGUGUUUAAUCAAUGUA